rfam:Schistosoma rodhaini strain Burundi genome assembly, scaffold: SROB_scaffold0004771
AUAAUAUAGUGGUGAGUAUUUCCGCCUGUCACGUGGUAGGUCCGGGUUCGAUUCCCGGU